AGGUAUUUCCCCAGGCGGUUUUAGCACAGCGGGCCCGCGGUGCCUGAACUUCGAAAUCCAUUUCGCCGCGGCGCUUGAUUUUCUGAUCAUGUAGCGGCGACGCUUGUAAAUUUGUCAAGCCCUUUCAAGCUCUUAUCCGAAUGUUUUGAUAAGACGCAAUCACGAUUUACGGGUCGUGUAUAGGGGUCUGUCCACUUAUAAUGGUCAAAAAAGAUCCAUUAUAAACCGGUACACGUGGCGUAAGAGUAAUUAAAGUCUGCAAGAAGGCUUCAGCAGAAUGAAAAGAGUAAAAAACUGACAAUCGUGUUCGCCCGAAGUCUGCUGUCCACCAUACUCUGGUGAUGGUUCGCAUUGAAGGACCAGACAAUUAGGAAGUGGACUUCAGAAGAAUGACGGAUGCUUGGCUACUGGAUAAGCCUCGAAGAAUAGUUUUUGGAAGUUGAAAUUGUAUAUCUGUACACUUGUGGUAAAAUAUGCAACUGUAUUAGCGUU